CUGAAUUAGUUUAAAUUUUAAAAUUAGAUGUUUGGGGCGUUUGGAUAUAUUUUCAGU
rnacentral:tRNA from 1 species